UGGCAGUCAGAGGCGAUGAAGGACGUGCUAAUCUGCGAUAAGCGUCGGUAAGGUGAUAUGAACCGUUAUAACCGGCGAUUUCCGAAUGGGGAAACCCAGUGUGAUUCGUCACACUAUCAUUAACUGAAUCCAUAGGUUAAUGAGGCGAACCGGGGGAACUGAAACAUCUAAGUACCCCGAGGAAAAGAAAUCAACCGAGAUUCCCCCAGUAGCGGCGAGCGAACGGGGAGCAGCCCAGAGCCUGAAUCAGUGUGUGUGUUAGUGGAAGCGUCUGGAAAGGCGUGCGAUACAGGGUGACAGCCCCGUACACAAAAAUGCACAUACUGUGAGCUCGAUGAGUAGGGCGGGACACGUGGUAUCCUGUCUGAAUAUGGGGGGACCAUCCUCCAAGGCUAAAUACUCCUGACUGACCGAUAGUGAACCAGUACCGUGAGGGAAAGGCGAAAAGAACCCCGGCGAGGGGAGUGAAAAAGAACCUGAAACCGUGUACGUACAAGCAGUGGGAGCACGCUUAGGCGUGUGACUGCGUACCUUUUGUAUAAUGGGUCAGCGACUUAUAUUCUGUAGCAAGGUUAACCGAAUAGGGGAGCCGAAGGGAAACCGAGUCUUAACUGGGCGUUAAGUUGCAGGGUAUAGACCCGAAACCCGGUGAUCUAGCCAUGGGCAGGUUGAAGGUUGGGUAACACUAACUGGAGGACCGAACCGACUAAUGUUGAAAAAUUAGCGGAUGACUUGUGGCUGGGGGUGAAAGGCCAAUCAAACCGGGAGAUAGCUGGUUCUCCCCGAAAGCUAUUUAGGUAGCGCCUCGUGAAUUCAUCUCCGGGGGUAGAGCACUGUUUCGGCAAGGGGGUCAUCCCGACUUACCAACCCGAUGCAAACUGCGAAUACCGGAGAAUGUUAUCACGGGAGACACACGGCGGGUGCUAACGUCCGUCGUGAAGAGGGAAACAACCCAGACCGCCAGCUAAGGUCCCAAAGUCAUGGUUAAGUGGGAAACGAUGUGGGAAGGCCCAGACAGCCAGGAUGUUGGCUUAGAAGCAGCCAUCAUUUAAAGAAAGCGUAAUAGCUCACUGGUCGAGUCGGCCUGCGCGGAAGAUGUAACGGGGCUAAACCAUGCACCGAAGCUGCGGCAGCGACGCUUAUGCGUUGUUGGGUAGGGGAGCGUUCUGUAAGCCUGUGAAGGUGUGCUGUGAGGUAUGCUGGAGGUAUCAGAAGUGCGAAUGCUGACAUAAGUAACGAUAAAGCGGGUGAAAAGCCCGCUCGCCGGAAGACCAAGGGUUCCUGUCCAACGUUAAUCGGGGCAGGGUGAGUCGACCCCUAAGGCGAGGCCGAAAGGCGUAGUCGAUGGGAAACAGGUUAAUAUUCCUGUACUUGGUGUUACUGCGAAGGGGGGACGGAGAAGGCUAUGUUGGCCGGGCGACGGUUGUCCCGGUUUAAGCGUGUAGGCUGGUUUUCCAGGCAAAUCCGGAAAAUCAAGGCCGAGGCGUGAUGACGAGGCACUACGGUGCUGAAGCAACAAAUGCCCUGCUUCCAGGAAAAGCCUCUAAGCAUCAGGUAACAUCAAAUCGUACCCCAAACCAACACAGGUGGUCAGGUAGAGAAUACCAAGGCGCUUGAGAGAACUCGGGUGAAGGAACUAGGCAAAAUGGUGCCGUAACUUCGGGAGAAGGCACGCUGAUACGUAGGUGAAGCGACUUGCUCGUGGAGCUGAAAUCAGUCGAAGAUACCAGCUGGCUGCAACUGUUUAUUAAAAACACAGCACUGUGCAAACACGAAAGUGGACGUAUACGGUGUGACGCCUGCCCGGUGCCGGAAGGUUAAUUGAUGGGGUUAGCGCAAGCGAAGCUCUUGAUCGAAGCCCCGGUAAACGGCGGCCGUAACUAUAACGGUCCUAAGGUAGCGAAAUUCCUUGUCGGGUAAGUUCCGACCUGCACGAAUGGCGUAAUGAUGGCCAGGCUGUCUCCACCCGAGACUCAGUGAAAUUGAACUCGCUGUGAAGAUGCAGUGUACCCGCGGCAAGACGGAAAGACCCCGUGAACCUUUACUAUAGCUUGACACUGAACAUUGAGCCUUGAUGUGUAGGAUAGGUGGGAGGCUUUGAAGUGUGGACGCCAGUCUGCAUGGAGCCGACCUUGAAAUACCACCCUUUAAUGUUUGAUGUUCUAACGUGGACCCGUAAUCCGGGUUGCGGACAGUGUCUGGUGGGUAGUUUGACUGGGGCGGUCUCCUCCUAAAGAGUAACGGAGGAGCACGAAGGUUGGCUAAUCCUGGUCGGACAUCAGGAGGUUAGUGCAAUGGCAUAAGCCAGCUUGACUGCGAGCGUGACGGCGCGAGCAGGUGCGAAAGCAGGUCAUAGUGAUCCGGUGGUUCUGAAUGGAAGGGCCAUCGCUCAACGGAUAAAAGGUACUCCGGGGAUAACAGGCUGAUACCGCCCAAGAGUUCAUAUCGACGGCGGUGUUUGGCACCUCGAUGUCGGCUCAUCACAUCCUGGGGCUGAAGUAGGUCCCAAGGGUAUGGCUGUUCGCCAUUUAAAGUGGUACGCGAGCUGGGUUUAGAACGUCGUGAGACAGUUCGGUCCCUAUCUGCCGUGGGCGCUGGAGAACUGAGGGGGGCUGCUCCUAGUACGAGAGGACCGGAGUGGACGCAUCACUGGUGUUCGGGUUGUCAUGCCAAUGGCACUGCCCGGUAGCUAAAUGCGGAAGAGAUAAGUGCUGAAAGCAUCUAAGCACGAAACUUGCCCCGAGAUGAGUUCUCCCUGACCCUUUAAGGGUCCUGAAGGAACGUUGAAGACGACGACGUUGAUAGGCCGGGUGUGUAAGCGCAGCGAUGCGUUGAGCUAACCGGUACUAAUGAACCGUGAGGCUUAACCUU
rnacentral:rRNA from 1 species